rnacentral:misc_RNA from 1 species
GGAAUGCGACCCUGGUUUACAAAAGGUCCCCACGAGGUGCGAGCGAGGGCAGCGGAGACACGUGUUUCGUAGUGCCAGCUGGGCGGCCGCAGAGAACGGGCGUGGAGGUUGUGCUGUUUCUUAGGAUUUGGGAUUUCUUGACACUAUGUUGGAUAAGAUGGUGAAGAAGACCGUAAAACGGAAGUUGACAGAACCAGUCGAUGGUUCCACAGGAAAGAAAAAGAAGACUGCUCUGAGUGCGCAGUCUGAAGGCAACAGCCCAAAUUUGCCAAAGAAGACCGUCAAGAAGCUGAAGCAGAAGCAGAAGCAGGAAGGGAAGACGGCAGUCGACAGCAUCCAGCAGAACAACAACAACAACGUGCAGCCCAAGUUGUCAGAGGAAACGGUUUCAAAACAGCCAAAGAAGAAAAAGAAAAAGGAAGAAAAUGCAGAAAAUGUUGGCACCCAGCAGAAGAUCUCGCAGCCAGACUUGACUGAAGAAAAGCCAAAGAAGAUCGUCAAAAAGAAAAAGCAGGAAGGAAACGCAGAAAAUGUUGAUGUCCAGCAGAAGAGCUUGCAGCCAGAGAUAACGGAGAAAAAUGUUGCAAAACCGAAGAAGAAAGUUGCCAAAAAGAAAAAGCUGCAAGGCGGCACAGUAAAUGGUGCAGUUGAACAAAUGGAUGUACAGCCCACGGAAACUGGAGUGGAUAGUCCCAAGCCAAAGAAAAAGAAGAAGAAACUAGGGAUCUUAGCCAAUGGUGAUGUUCAGCCAUUGAAAGAGCAGCCUGUGGAAAAUGGGCAGCUGGAAAAGAAAUCACCUGUCAAGAAAACAACGAUCCAGCCUGCACAGCCAUCAGGAGGGGAACAGACGCUGACUGACCUCCAGAAAAGGAUGCUCCAACGCACACAGCCGUCUGAAGAGGAACUAGCACAGAUGGAAGAAGAACGAGCACUUAGACAAGGGCGGUUCUCUGGACGGGGAUUCAGAACUCCAAACAUGCGUGGCGGCAGGGGGGGUGACAGACGAGGGGGUAACAGGCGUGACUAUGGCAGGGACAGUGGAGACAGGCGUGGACGUGGACGCGGGCGUUUCACUCCUGGUUUUGUGACGAUCCCUAAUUCAAUUCAUGUGGAUUGGCCAAGGGUUACUCCAACAAAAACAGAUGCUGACUCAUCAGAAAACUCUGCUGAAACACCAGAAAAGUCUGCUGACUCACCAGAAAAGCCCGCCUCCCUUCUCAAACCCGACUACAAUUCCGAAGAAUAUAACGCCCCACUGGAGUGGAUGGGGUUAACGCCCCGCAGGAGCAUGGGCAGAGGCAGGGGCAGGGGCAGAGGCAGAGAAAGAGGUGGAGGUGGAGGUGGAGGUGGAGCAUGGUUUGGAGGAAGAGGUAACAACAGUGAUGAUGACGGAGGUGAAGAUAACGAUGGAGAAGAAAGGAGAAGCAGUUUUGGAGGCAGAGGAGGAGGAAGAGGUUUCCGUGGGAGAGGAGGCGGUGGAUCGCGCGGGAGAGGAAGAGGAGGCUCUCGUGGAAGAGGAGGUGGUGGUGGUAGAGGAAGAGGCUUCGGAGGUGGAGGACGAGGUCGUGGAGGCAGAGGCGGCGACUCUCAGUAAGAAAUAUUCCAGUGUUCAAUGUCUCAGAAAAUAACCCUAACUUGAUCCCUGUGCCAUCGAAAGAUAAGGAUUAAGUACCAUCAAGAAGAGGAAUGAAAAAAAAAAAAAGAGGGGAAGAAAAAGACUGUGACAAGCAGAGGACAGCAGCAGAUGAUCAGCCCCUUGCAUGUUGUAUAUUUAUCACAGUUUGAUAUCCAGUAAUGAAGAUUUAGUUCUUUCACCACAAAGAGAUCCCUAAGGAUAUCUAGGAGAAAGGAAUAUCCGCUUCAUUUUUAAUGUUAAUCAAGGUUAAGGAUUAUGUUUUCAAAAUAAGUUAAAAAAUUCAUUUUGAGAAUUGUUCAUCAUGUGUCAUUUGAAUUUCUCAUGAACUGCAUAUAAGUCAUGGGAUAUUGGUUUAUAUGUAAUUAUAUAGGAUCCUAAUAUCUUAUCUAAUAUCAUACUCUGUCAUGGAAUAUUGCAUAUUUUUGUAAAUUUAUUUAUUGCAUUUGCCAUGGAAUAUGUUAAUGUUUUAUAAAAUAUGUUAUAAAGCAGAUGUGCCUAUGUAGUGUUUACUCCAGCAAAAGCAUGAAUAAAUUUGUUAUGAUA